GGGCCUAAAGCGCCGUAGCAGCCUGUAAAUCUUUGUGAAAUCGCAGGCUUAACUGCCGGCGCGCAGAGACACUGCAAGGCUCGAGACCGGGAGAUGUCAGAAGUAUUCCUUGGGUACCGGUAAAAUGGGUUAAUCCAAGGAGGACUACCAAUGGCGAAGGCAUCUGACCAGCACGGUUCUGACUGUGAGGGACGAAAGCUAGGGGAGCAAAACGGAUUAGAUACCCGAGUAGUCCUAGCCGUAAACGCUGCGAGCAAGGUAUUGCGCCUCCCACGAGGAUGCGCAGUGUCGAAACGAAGGUGUUAAGCUCGCCGCCAGGGAAGUACGGUCGCAAGGCUGAAACUUUAAGGAAUUGGCGGGGGAGCGCCACAAGGGGUGCGGCGUGCGGUUCAAUCUAACUCAACGCAGAGAACCUCACUAGGCCCGACGGCAGAAUGAAGGUCAUGCUGAAGACAUUGCCUGACAAGCCGAGAGGUAGUGCAUGGCCGUCGCCAGCUCGUGCUGUGAAGUGUCCAGUUAAGUCUGGCAACGAGCGAGACCUGUACUCUCUAUUGCUAACGACUGCUACGGCAGGAUUGAGCACUUUGAGGGGACUGCCCUGGAAACGGGGAGGAAGGUGCAGGCUACGGUAGGUCUGUAUGCUCCGAAUGGUCUAGGCUACACGCGCGCAACAA
rnacentral:rRNA from 1 species